UGUAUUGUGCUCUCUCUCAGCUGGUCCCUGGCACUGCUUCAGACUGGAAUAGGAAAGAACUCUCACAGCACACUGACCAACAUUUACCCCCUCACUCGACUCUACAAGAACAGGUUCCUCUGCUGUUUUUCACACUGAAACCAUGGGCAGGAACUGGCAGCAGUGACUGCUGGUGAGGACCAUGAAAGCUCACGGGGGUGCUUUACAGUCGGUGCCGCUCUACGUGAAAACCUGAAGUGCCUGAUCACAGAGGCCAGUCCAGAAACCCUUGAAGUUUGACAAGAGAAGAACAGGGGACUGAAGAGGCUUGGGUGUUCCAGCCUGGAAAAGACAUUAAUCUAGUGAAGCCCUUGGGAGCAAGACGCACGUGUGCAGCACUGAGGAGUGUGUACAAGACCCUGGAUAACACGUUCAACCAAGGCCCCAACUGCCUGCUCAGAUGAGUGAAACA